GUUGACUUCUUCAGCGGAGCCAUAGGUGACAAAACCAAAACCCCUCGACCUGCCGCUCUCCCUGUCGUAGAUGACCUUGGCAUCGAGCACGGUUCCCUGCUCACUGAACAGGUUCUCGAGUGUCGAGUUGUCGACACCCCAAGCAAGGUUCCCUACAUAGAGCUUGUUGGAUGAAUCAAAGUUGCUCCCACCACCCCUAGGUGAUCUUGGCGCGAAAUCAUCCCGAGGCGGAGGCGGCCCUGAGUUUACCCUCAGAGGUCUUCCUUGGAAUGUGUAUCCAUUGAAUUGUUCGACGGCAGCACCAGCUUCUUCAGCUGUAGACAUUGUGACGAAUCCAAAGCCACGGCUUCUUCCGGUCUGUCUGUCAUAUACAACCUCG
rnacentral:misc_RNA from 1 species